GACGAACGCUGGCGGCGUGCUUAACACAUGCAAGUCGAGCGGUAAGGCCCCUUCGGGGGUACACGAGCGGCGAACGGGUGAGUAACACGUGAGCAAUCUGCCCAUCACAUCGGGAUAACUCCGGGAAACCGAAGCUAAUACCGAAUACGACCACCUCCGGCAUCGGAUGGUGGUGGAAAGUUCCGGCGGUGAUGGAUGAGCUCGCGGCCUAUCAGCUUGUUGGUGGGGUAACGGCCCACCAAGGCUUCGACGGGUAGCCGGCCUGAGAGGGUGACCGGCCACACUGGGACUGAGGCACGGGCCAGACCCCCACGGGAGGCAACAGAGGGGAAUAGUUGACCAAGGGGCGAAGGCUGGUCCAGCAACGCCGCGUGAGGGAUGACGGCCUUCGGGUUGUAAACCUCUUUCAGCAGGGACGAAGCGCAAGUGACGGUACCUGCAGAAGAAGCACCGGCCAACUACGUG
rnacentral:rRNA from 1 species